ACACAAACACACACACACACACACAUGCACAUUAACAUUUAUUUAACCAGUUAAAAAUGUAAUUAUUUUAUUAAUUAAAAUCAAUUUCAAGACCUGGGCCCGGAUUCACAAAAGUGUUCUUAAGAUAAAAAUUAAGAAGAUUCUUCAGAAAAAAUAUAAGAAGUUCCUAAGAAUCUUCUUAAACGCUAUUCACCAUUUUUUUCUUAAGAAUUGUCGAUUGUCUUACGAACUUCUUAGUUUUCUCACUUAGGAUGUUCUUAGAUUUUUAUCUUAAGAACGCUCGCAAGGUUUUUGAACCAACAGUUGACCGACAGUUGAGAGAAAUUGAUUUGUGAAAAAAGGAGGACAUCGCCUGUAAAUGAAGCUUUAACUUCUCCAAACAGGAGUUGGAGGUGAUGGUCGAGGAGAUCAUCAUCCGAAAAAGAUUAUUGUUUGGCAAGCUAGACAGUAUGAUAACGUCGGAAAACAAAAAGAGGGCGUGGGCCAAAGUUGCCCAGACUGUAUCUGCAGUGGCGGAUAUAGGUAUCGUUUGCGAUGUCAACGCUGUAAAACAAAAAAGUGGGCUGACAUCAAAUCUAUUGUAAAAAAGAAUGGAACGGAGAGGGCAAGAGAGUUGAAAAAAAACUAGAGGAGGGAAGACGACAAUCCAGCUGGACCCACUGGAGGAGAAAUUGUUGGGGUCGAUUGCCGAAAUGUUAGUUGAAGGAGUAGAUGGAGGAGUGGACACUGGAGAACCGGGAGAAGACGAUAGCCUGCAAGCAGGAGAUACUUUGGUCGUAAUAGCAGUCAACCAGGAUGCAGAACAAUCCCACACAAUCAAUGCAGCUGAACCAACCCAAGCCCUUACAAACCAUCAAAACCUGUUACAGAGUCCCGGGGAUGACCUGACAUUAUCCCAGCUAUUCUCGGAAACCUUUCAUACACCUGCCACAUCCAGAAGCAACACGGAGGACAUGGUCUCCCUUCAGCGUCAGCUUUUGGAGGAAGUUAAAAUGCUGAGGCAUACUCCGGAGCAACUCCUGCAGGUGGAGAGGGAAAAGCUGCUCGUCGAGAGGGAGAAGCUUCACCUUGCCCAAGCCAAGUUUGAUUUAAAAAAAAAUGAAUGUUGAACCUAGAAUAAAAUAGCAAUCACUCAGA